rnacentral:misc_RNA from 1 species
AAGUCGUAACAAGGUCUCCGUAGGUGAACCUGCGGAGGGAUCAUUACAAGUGACCCCGGUCUUACCACCGGGAUGUUCAUAACCCUUUGCUGUCCGACUCUGUUGCCUCCCGAGCGCGCCGGUCUUCGGACAGGCGAGCGCCCGCCAGAGUCCAACCAAACUCUUGUUUUUAAAACCAGUCGUCUGAGUAUAAAAUUUUAAUUAAAUUAAAA